CAUUGGAAUAUAAAACAGUUAGAACAUUCUCUGAAUCUUUGAAGUCAGAGAAAACAGAAGAACCAAAAGAUGAUGAUGUGAUAAGAAAUAUUAUUAGGCUACGAGAAAAGCUUGGUUGGCAAACUAUAUUACCGCAGCACAGUUUGAAAUACGGAAGCUCCAAAAUUGCAAUUCAGAAGAUUACUUUAAAGAAACCUUUGGAAGAUGAUGGAGAAUUUGUUUAUUGCCUUCCUCGGAAAAGUCCUAAAUCCCUUUACAAUCCAUAUGAUCUUCAGGUAGUAUCGGCUCAUACUGCUAAACAUUGCAAAGAAUUUUGGGUUAUUACUGCUUCAUUUAUCUCAAAGAGAUACUUGGUCAUUUGUGGAGCAGUUUAUAUAUAAGAAUCUCCUUGGGAGCAUGUUAUUUAAUAGUGAAGUUUUUCCUUUUGUGUAGAGAUUUAGGUUUGAAGAUUCAACUUUAAUAAAUUUUUUCAUCUAUCAAAUACUUUGUUAAUACUUGGGGUAAAUUUUUACAGGAAGAACUACAAAACAAGCAUUUGCUAGCUUAAUGGGAACUAUAAUAAUAAAGAAAAGAAUAUUCUUUAUUGGCA
rnacentral:lncRNA from 1 species